CAGAUAAGACUUUAUCUACCCUGGGCAGCUUUCCUGAGCCAUGGCAGGCUGGCUUACAAGCAAUACUAGGCUUCUGUUGUCUCUUUCUGUCUAUUUAUAAGAAACAUGGCCAGGCAAGAUGGCUUAUGCCUUUAAUCUCAGCUGUUUGGGAAGCCAAGUGGAAAGAUUGCUUGAGGCCAGGAGUUCAAGGCCAACCUGGAUAACACAGCUCAGUCCCAAAAAAGCACCUGAAGCUUGUCUUAGCUUUCAUUCUUCUUAUGAGAGAAAUUGGGCCUGAUGCUGAAGGAGAACUCUUCUGUCCACUGCAAGUCCACUUACAUGAACAGCUAAAUAAAUGAAUGGGAUUCUGAAGGACUGUAUGUGGAGAGCAAGGUUAACCAUUUGUGCUUGCUGCAUGAGGUCAGAAAAUACGAAAAGAGAAUGAGGAAAUUUCAGCUGGGUCCCUCCCUUUAAUUCAGGGUUUCUUCCCACUCUUCAGGGAAUAAGCAAUGAUGAGUGUUAGGCUGUUUAUUCAGAUACCCUCAUGCCACUGCAGAAGCGAGUAGAGGAAGAAUACAAGGAAAAAACUGUCUCCCAGCCUGUGGAAAGAGGAUGGCUAUUUCAUCCACUAAAGGUGUACACAUUAAGUGAAUUGGUAUGUCUACAUAGUCCCAUUAGGAGUGAAUGUCUGUGUGUGCAACUGAGAUGAGAUGAUGUCUUGUCCAAUGCUGGUUUCCACCUUGUGCCCUGAGCUGUUGGGAUAGGCUCCUGCGACCCAUGACCCUGAAGCAGAAUAAGUGGAUUGGAUAAAGGAAUGAUGGAUAU
rnacentral:lncRNA from 1 species